ACCGCUGCAGCAGCUCUGUCGCGUUGAAGCAGUUUUCAGAUUUAAACACAAAAUUAGUGCUGCUGCUCAGACAGACAACAGCAAGACAACAUGGAGGUCACAGCUCUCUGCUGCAGACUGUUGAUGACUGUGACGAUCCUGCUUUGUGAACAUGAUCAGAAAGUUGUUGCAGUUUCUCUUCGUAUCGAUCCAAACAGACUGCAGUUCUUCGAAUAUGAGCGUGUAACUUUUACCUGCGAGGGGCUCUUUGAUUGUAAAGUUGGACGUAGACCCAAAAGCAACAUAUCAACAUCAUCCUGCAACUUUACAUCUGUAUAUUCAGACGACAGUGGGGAGUACUGGUGUGAGGCUGGAUUUGGGAAUAGAAGCAACAGUAUAAACAUCACUGUCACUGCGGGUUCUGUGAUCCUGGAGAGUCCCGCUCUUCCUGUGACGGAGGGAGACAAUGUGACUCUGCGCUGCAGAAACAAGACGCCCGCCUCAGACCUCACAGCUGGUUUCUAUAAAGAUGGCGUCUUCAUUAGGAACAGCACUACAGGAAAAAUGACCAUCCACAAUGUUUCCAAGUCUAACGAAGGACUCUACAAGUGCAACAUCUCUGGAGCUGGAGAGUCAGCAGAGAGCUGGCUGACUGUCAGAGUUUCAGAGCAUUUCCCCGUCAAACAUCCGCUUUCCUCCAAUUCCACACCAUGGAUCAUAGUUGCUGUUGUUUUGGUGGUUCAGCUGUUGGUGUUUGGACUGUGUCACUCUCACAAAAAUUACUGGGACAGAGAUGAGAAUGAAUUUAUGUCUACACACUGUUACUACGUCCUGGGCCAGGAUGACGCUCAAGAGCCGGCAGAACCAGGAGCGUCCAGUAUCACAGCCUCAUCAGUUCCCUCAGCAGGUACCAACCCACCUGUAGAAGGAAAGGUCUUCUACUCUGUAGUCAAGAAGGUCACUGAGAGAGAAUGACUGGAGGAGGAGAAGACACAUUCACAGUUUCACUCACUCAACCUAAAUUAGCAACGUUGUGACGUGAGUGCAAGCGGCGAGCAGAACAGGCAUGCUGGCUCCUGCUCUCUCCUCUCGGUUCUUCAAAGGGCAACAAGGCCCCAGCCCAGGUCAGCUUUGCUACCUGAGAAACCAGCUCUCUCGCCGGCCUGCUACCAGCAGCCUGCAAACACUCUUCUCCUCAACAGCAGCGACCUGCUUCGGAUUAACUGUGAGUGAACCAAGUUCUCUUCAGAAUCAGCAGCUACAACACAAGGCCAGCUGAUUUUCAAAGCAACAGGAGUCCUAGCAGAGUUAGCGUGGAACAGCUAACUCUGUGAGGAGAACAAAAGAGAUACCAGCAAGCAACACAGCCAGACAGGACUUUACUCCACCAGGAAACCUCCCAACUCACUGGACUUUACAACAACAGUGGAAAGGACCUAUUUGCUUGUUCCAAGGACUGGGUAACGUUAACUGACUGGGCCUAACCUUUCCCAGCACAGCAUAGCUAAGCAGCAGAAGUCUUAACUUUGGUAAUGUACUUGUUGAUUGAUGUCUUGUUGUUGUAAUGUUUGCUUAGGUUGUGGUCAGUCAUACAGUUAAUCGGGUACUCGUAUGUUCACACACAUAGUAGUAAGUCUCAGUUCUAGAACCUGCAUGAAGCUAACCUUCCCCCUCUAACCUGGUACAUUUAGAUUACAUGAGCUAGGCUAACAAAGAAACUCACACCUUCCCUCCCACACACACACCAGGUGGUCUCAGCAGCCAUUUUGAGUAGUUUCUUUGUUCAGGUCAUGUGUUCACAGUGACCACUUUGAAUCGGCCAGCUUGCCUUUGUUUGUGUCCCCACAGACACACACACAUACACCUACACACACACACAUACAGUCACCUGUAUAUACUAGAUUAGAUAUUGUGUUUUACUCUGCUCUAUUGUAAAUAAAUGUCUUUAAGUAUAACUACUGGUGUAUUGCACAAGCGUGAAUAUUGCCAACCUCUAUUUUGUAGAAUUCCAAUCCUUCAACUUUAACUUACUGUUGAUAUGGUAAUUUGGUUAUAGUUAAUAAGCUACUUGUUCAUCAAAGUUCCAGAUUAAUGGUAUUAAAUUGAGACUGAAACAAUAUUGGCUAUUUUGCCUAUUAGCUUAGGCUGGUGCCCCGAGGACUUUAAUUAAUUUUAAAGUUAUUAUUUAACAUUAAUAUUUUUAGUUAAUUUAUG